rnacentral:misc_RNA from 1 species
GAAGAAAUAUCAACAGCAGCAUACCAAGGAAACACCACAGUUAACUUCAAGAAAGACUGUAAAUCUGAAAGUUAACAAAUCUAAUGAUUAUGACAAAGUAACAAUUACUGAUACCCCAGUAUAAGGAAAAGCUCUAAUCAAAUCAUUGGAAUCCCCCUUCAUCAACCAGCUAAACCUCCUCCACCAAUCCAUGAAAUCUCAUGUCAGCAUCCAUCGGUUCAACCCACCACGCAAUAUGGUUUGCCAACUGAUUAGUAGUCUCGUCGCAUUUCAGCGGGGUAAUUCGGCAUAUAGACUACUUGCCGAGGGGGACCAAUCAUCAUCUGCUGCCCAUACUGUGGUCCAUUUGGAUGAAAAAAUUGUUGUGGUACAGGUGUAGCUUGUGGAUUAAACAUAACAGGCUGAUGUGGAGAAAAUGAAGGACCUACCCCAACAGGCAUGCCAUGCACAUUGGGAACAGUAGCCACACCAGCUGGAUAAUAGAAGGAACUAUCAGACACCGGAGAAGCAGGUCUCAAAGGUGAUUGAAAUGGCAUGAAACUCUUUGCAUUAGGAUUUAAUUUAAAUUCCUUAGCAUGUGGA